AGUGAACGCUGGCGGCGUGCCUAAUACAUGCAAGUCGAACGGAGUGGCGCACGGGUGAGUAAUGUAUAGCUAAUCUGCCCUACACUAGAGGACAACAGAUGGAAACGACUGCUAAUACUCUAUAGUGUAGGAUGAGGCUAUAUUGUAUCAGCUAGUUGGGGAGGCAAUGGCGCACCAAGGCGAUGACGCAUAACUGGUCUGAGAGGAUGAUCAGUCACACUGGAACUGAGACACGGUCCAGACUGCUACGGGAGGCAGCAGUAGGGAAUAUUGCUCAUUGGGGGAAACCCUGAAGCAGCUACGCCGCGUGGAGGAUGACACUUUUCGGAGCGUAAACUCCUUUUGUUAGGGAAGCGGUACCUAGCGAAUAAGCACCGGCUAACUCCGUGCCAGCAGCCGCGGUAAUUC
rnacentral:rRNA from 1 species